rnacentral:tRNA from 1 species
GCGCUCGUAGCUCAAAUGGAUAGAGCACCUGACUUCGGAUCAGGGGGUUGUGGGUUCAAGUCCUACCGAGCGCG